rnacentral:pre_miRNA from 1 species
GAUAAGUACUCCCUCCGUCCUAAAUAAAAAAGCAAACUGUUCGUCUUAUAUAAUUUUUUUUUAUAAUUAGUAUUUUUAUUGUUGUUAGAUGAUAAAACAUGAUUAAUACCUUAUACGUGACUUAUCUUUUUAAACUUUUCAUAAUUUUUUUAAAUAAGACGAACGGUUAAAUGUUAGACACUGAAACCAGGUUUGUCUUUUUU